AAUGACCCACUGGUUUCCAGUAAAGUUAUCAUAGCCUACAGUAAUGAUUGAUUUGCUCCAGUGGUAAACUAAAGAACAACUCACAGUCCCACCAAGGCCUCCAAGGGUUGCAUGUUCUAACAACAGCUGGACAUCUUGUGUUCCUGCCCCCUCAGUCAGGAUCUCCACACGUUGGUGUGUAUGGAGGAGGUGCUGGCCUGGCUCUCUGCAGACUGAAUUAUAGUCCUGGUUCUGCACCUUCCCGCUGAGUGUCCUCCUCCAUGGGCUGCCGUUUCUUCAGCAGAUAAGUGAGGGGCUUGGACCAGUUGAAGACGAAGUCCAAACUCAGAUGCCUUCAGCACCAAAGAGGUGACCCAAAUAAUGCCUCAUCCCCUGCUUGGUCCAUAGUGAUGCCAGCCUGUGGUUAUUGGAACCUGGUCUGCCAGACCAAAUGGAGGAAGUCUGCCAGGCAGAUGUGGAACCCAAAAGAGGAACUUCACCAACUGCUGUGGACAGCUCUAGCGCUUCAUGCCCCCGUGGACUUUUGGGGAAGUAUUUUUGUGGCUCACCAGUCUCUCAUUAGGCAAAGGUCACAUGUCCUGUCUUGGCCUUCUCUACUGGUGGAAAGUACGGCUGGGAGAUUUGGAAUGGUUGCUGUUUGACUUUGAUUCUUGGCACGACUGUCACCAUGAGCUUUUUUGGAUUGCUUCAUGGUCACAAGAUGGCUGUUGGAGAUCCAGUCUUCGUGUCUCAAACAGGAAGAAGGAGAAAGGGCCAAAUGCAAAUGGUACAUAAUAGCAGAGUAUAUACCCUCUUUGAAUGAUUUCCUGGAAGCCCCACACCAAG
rnacentral:lncRNA from 1 species